GAUGAACGCUGGCGGCGUGCCUAAUACAUGCAAGUCGAGCGAACAGACGAGGAGCUUGCUCCUCUGACGUUAGCGGCGGACGGGUGAGUAACACGUGGAUAACCUACCUAUAAGACUGGGAUAACUUCGGGAAACCGGAGCUAAUACCGGAUAAUAUAUUGAACCGCAUGGUUCAAUAGUGAAAGACGGUUUUGCUGUCACUUAUAGAUGGAUCCGCGCCGCAUUAGCUAGUUGGUAAGGUAACGGCUUACCAAGGCAACGAUGCGUAGCCGACCUGAGAGGGGGAUCGGCCACACUGGAACUGGACCACGGUCCAGACUCCUACGGGAGGCAGCAGUAGGGAAUCGUCCGCAAUGGGCGGAAGCCUGACGGAGCAACGCCGCGUGAGUGAUGAAGGUCUUCGGAUCGUAAAACUCUGUUAUUAGGGAAGAACAAAUGUGUAAGUAACUAUGCACGUCUUGACGGUACCUAAUCAGAAAGCCACGGCUAACUACGUG
rnacentral:rRNA from 1 species